rnacentral:rRNA from 1 species
UACAGAGGGUGCGAGCGUUAAUCGGAAUUACUGGGCGUAAAGAGCUCGUAGGUGGUUUGUCGCGUUGUUCGUGAAAUCUCACGGCUUAACUGUGAGCGUGCGGGCGAUACGGGCAGACUAGAGUGUGGUAGGGGAGACUGGAAUUCCUGGUGUAGCGGUGGAAUGCGCAGAUAUCAGGAGGAACACCGGUGGCGAGGGCGGGUCUCUGGGCCAUAACUGACGCUGAGGAGCGAAAGCGUGGGGAGCGAACAGG